rnacentral:lncRNA from 1 species
UUAACUUCUUCAUCAUCGAUCAUUAUGCGAGCACUAUUAACAAGAAUGCAACAACUAACAUGCAACAUACCGAUGCAGUAACAAAACAGCAAGCAUUUCAAAUAAACAAUGAUAGCAUGCGAAACAUAGCAAUACCAAGAACUAGCAAAACUUAUCAGUGCAACAGAAUUAUCAUAGCAUCGUUACUACUAACAUGAACUAAACUAGACAGAGGCAUGAUAUUAUCAGUAACAACAACAAACUAGCAUGUCAACUAUUUCAUGAGAGCACAAACAUGCAAGACAGAUAACAAAAGCAUAUAGCACGAAUGAAAUGACAACAGACGGAACAAACAAGAAACUACUGCAACUAAACACACACACGAGGUGCAAGCAAAGUCAACAUGCAAGUUCAGGGCUCAUUAUAAGAGGUUGGCUUGCCUCGGGUCGAGAAAUACUUCGGGAAAAAUGUGGAAUGAUCGCGGAAAGAUUUGCCAGAAAUAGUUCUCUCUAGGAGGGGGCUGUUCACGGGCAAGGGUAAAGUGGUCAUUUUCACUGUGUGAAAACAUAAUGAAAAUGAUACCAAUGGAAAGAGUUCGAUGAGACGAAGACGUGAGCGUUGGUUUCACAUCAAUCGGAGUUACGGUUGUCGAGAUACGCAGGGUUGAAGUUCAGGGACCUAUCGGUGAAAGUUUUCCAGCAAACAGGCCCCUGGAGGAAAAACUGAACGCGCCUUUCUCAGAAAUAUGCUUUCCAGAGAGGAAAGCGCAUUCUGGCCCGAAGAGGAAGCGAAUACGCUUUCGGUUAAGGGAAGCGCAUUUUCGGGAGUACGUGGUCACUUAUCCACGUCAGCGCCUGGGGUCAACCCCUAGUGCGACUGACGGGUGGGCCUUGCGGAGGUGGGACCCGCCUGGCUUGCGUCUUCAACCUCCCGCUCGCACGCCCGCCGGGAAGAGGGAGGUUCUCUCCUCGACGGCGAUAGCCGGCGCAUCCGGCCACCGCUCGCGACGGCCGACCUACCCACGGGUUCAGGAGCGAGAGGCGCAUCCCGUGGUGUUGUCAGCUGCCGUCGAGGGGCACUAGGGAAGGAGCAGCAAGGUGGGCGGCGGAGCAGGGCUUCGGCCUCCGGCGAACAGGGGGCUCCGGUGGGGAAUGGGGUGGGCAAGGCAACGGGGAGGCUCACCGGACCCUGGGGAAGGCAGUGGUGGAGGUGGAGCGGCGAGAGGGGAGCGGCAUCGCCGGAAUCGAGCGGAGCCCAAGGCGGCGGCCGUGGCAAUGGGGAGGGGUCAGAGAGCUCCUCGAGCUCGAGCUAGAGGUUCGGGGGGGCUUGUGGACUGCGAGGGGCUCGGGGGCGGGCUUAAAUAGACGUGGGGAAGGCUCGAGGGGGAGGGGAUGAGGUGACACGCGGCAGGCGACGUGUCCGUGCGCCGGCGAUGGCCAUGCGCGGCCAAGGCUCACGGGAAGCAACGGGAAGGCGACGAGGGGGAUGCGGACGACGCGCGGGAGGACAAGAGGGGGAAACGGACAGGAGCGAGGAAACGACGACGAGCUCACGGAUAGGGACGGUUCACCGACGGUGACGGCUCGUCGAGGAAGCAAACGAAGGGGAAACGGGCCAAGACGCACGGCGAGGAUGAGGCUGAGUUGGUUGACAAGGUUGGACGAGCCAAAGCCAGCCGGAGCUGCGCCACUGUGGCCAACAGCGGCGAGACCAACGAUUUGGCCUGCAUAGCCCCAUGGUCACCACCGACUUUGCGCUCUCUAGUCGUCAACUAAGGGCCAAACCUUGUCUACAGCGUAGUCCUUCCAAAGCUCAUUAAGACUUAGGUGAUGGCACAGGCAGAGGUGUAGAGAGCAGAGGGAACCAAGCUCGACAAGUUUGCUGUUGCAAACUUGGCCACAUCUUGGUGAUCAAACCAGAGAGGUUAAGGGCGAAGAUUGAUGUCCUGGAGGUUUAAGCUAGCAAGGACUACGGUCCUGGGAAGUUGGAGGGGAUUUGGACAAAGAUUUAGCAUAGUUGUAGUGCAACGGCCAAAUCUGGUCCAGAAACCAAAUGAUGAAGGAGCACUCACUAGGAGUGUUGGAUUGGGCUAAAACUUGGCAAAGCUUCCUAAUUUGGUCAUAUAAUGAUGCUGUAAAAAUAUCAUACCAAAUGGACUUGCCAAAUUGGUACUUUUUUCACAAGCAUCACAUCUGACCAGAAACUUUGGAAAAAUCCAGGGAAAUAUUGGCUACAUGAAAUGAGCCAAAAGUUGGUCUAGGUGGGUUAUUUGGAUAGGAGAAGAAUUGGGAAUAUUUUCAGCCAUAAUGGAGCAAGAUAAAAUGUACUUGCUUCACAAACUGAAAAUUUGGACAGAAACCAAGAAUUGCUCCUGUGCUCACAUAGUUCAAUGAAUUGAACUGAAUUUAGGUGGAGGCUAAUGAUUUGGAAUACUUGAGAAGAUGGAAAAGUUUCAUCCCAUUUGGAAACUCUAUGAAGGUACUUCCUUCACAAGCAUGCCAUCUGGUCAGAAACUUUGAAAAAUUGCACAGGGAGCUAGGAUGAAUGGAUUGAGCUCAUCUUUGGUAUCCAUGGGUGAUUUAUCAAGGUUAAUCACCUUGCCAAAUUGCAGCUCAAUUGGAAUUAGGAAUAAAGCACUUCCUUUGCAAAAAUUUCAAAGAGGGCAGAAACUUGCAUUGGAUCAUGUGCUCAAAUUAUGAUCUUUGGAACAUGGGUUUGGAUGGAACUAGUGAUUAUAUAGCAAGGACAAGCUCCACAAUUUAUGUGAGAAUUUUCCCUGCUAUAAAAAUAGUAGUUCCUUUAGAAAGUGGCAGAAAUGCAAUAUUGGUAUUAAAUAGGAAAAUGCAGUUUUCCAUAUUUAAUUAUGGCCAAUAUCUUUGCCAGAGCUUGGAUUAGGCAUAAAUAUCAACUCCACCAAUUCUCAUGAAUUUAGGAGAUGGCUAGCUAUGCCUUUGGAUUUUAUUCCUCAGAAAGGCAAGAAAAGGAAUAAAUCAUAAUUCAAAAAUAUUGCAUGGGACUUAGCAAUAUUUUUGCAUAUCCAAGGAUUAGUAGGAUAGGAGGGUCUCCAGGAAUAGAUGGGACGAUCAACAGAUUGAGGAAAAUGAUGGCUCCUUUGUAUUCACAAAGGGCACAUUCAAAUUCCAAAGAUUGGAACUAGGGUUUGAAAGGAUUUGAGAUGAUGCAAAAGAGGUCUUGCCCACUGACAAAGACAUGAGCAAGGUUUUGAAAGGUUGGAAAUGGCAAAAGUUUCUCAGAGUCAUCCAGCAAACUCAGGAGGAAAUUUUGAAAAUGAGUGCCAGGAAGGAAUAACAGCUCAAAAAUUGAUAACCCAAUUUUGGGGUUGUUACAAACCUUCCCCCCUUAAAAAGAAUCUCGUCCUCGAGAUUCCUAGGGUUACAGCACAAAUGAAAGGGUAACCACUCCGGGGAAAAACCUCGGGGUUAAUUUUAACCCUUUGGUUGGAUUCGAAAGAGUUGGGGGCACCGAUAAUUGGUACACCCGGAGAGAUAUGGGCAAACACGGUUAAAAAUCCACGGCUAGGGCACUCGAGAUCAGACUCUCGAAAAAUUGCUAGAUGCACCCUAGUGAAUAGUGGAUUCACCUGCUGACACGUGGGUCCAGGGCCCACUGGCAGCCUCCUUCUUCUACCUCCGGCUAGCUGCUUCUUCGGUGAUGCUGCUUCGUGUGCGGCUUAGCGCAGUGCGCAUCUAGCCCCUAGGGCGAUGAGGACCCUAGUGUCGUAGUGCGCGGCAUGCACGGCGCCGGUGCAGCGAGCACUCACGUUGCGGGCCAGCACCUUGUCGGCACUGCGCGGAUUCGCCUCCUGGAUGCCGGUGAUCGAGCGACGAGUGGUUCUCGUGGACCUCGCUCAUCGUACACCGGGGUUGGGCUAUGAAAGACGGCAGCGCGGCUCUCCUCCAACGCACAAACACAAUGCCGCUCUACUACCUCUUCGGUUUGGGCGAGAUCGAGCCGAGCUCCUUCGGCGAGGAGGUGUUCUUGGUGGCGCUGCGGUGAUUCCUAGCUGCGCUGCUGGGCACGCUGAUUGGCUCGUCGAUCAUCCUGCUGACGAUCAUCAGGUACGAGCGAGCUCGAGGCAACGCGCGGCCAGCUGCGGUGGCUUGAGGUGUGGAAGAAGAUGGUGCACGGGGUGGUCCUCCGCCACGCUUGAUUCUCCGACGCUUCGUGCCGGCGGAGUAAUCGCGUGCUGCGGGGGAGCGGUGGUGGCGACUCGGCUGCGCUACCCUAGGCAGUGAUGGUGCGGGUGGUGGGGUCCAGAUGCAGGUGAGGUGACUGCGCCAGCUCAGCAUCACACUGGGGUACAAGGAAGAUUUCGUGGAUUGCUCCACGAAAAAGUAGGUGUCGAGGUAGAAUCGGAGUUGAAAUCUGUAUUGUGGUAGAUGUACUGGAUUGAAUGAAAUAAAGUUGGCAGCGUUCCUCCGGAAAUGAAAUCGGGAAAAAGAAUUGGAGACAAGGAACUGCCAGACGGAAAUGCCUCUGCGAGGCUCUGGUUUUGGAAAAUCUGGCACACGGGGUAUGCACAGAUAGAGAUAGGGAUGCGUGACUUUGCUUUCCCCCGAGUACUGCCCGAAUGUACUCGUGGGUGAACCGGGUAUGCAUGCAGUAUGCAGUACACACAAACUAACAAACAAACCAAUGCAACAAACAUGCAAUGCAAACACAACAGACAAAUCAUUCUAAGGUGUUUUAAUGCUAGUGGGUAUAUGUAAUCCUGGCAUACAUAUACCUACACCAGCGCGCAUUUUAUUAAAGACUCGGGACGAGCCAAUGUUGUUUUUAGUGUAUGUGCUCUACUGAUUAAAGUCUUGUUAGCAACACAUUGCCAACCCUGUCAAACAUCUCUGCUUGACAGAGAGACAAACAAGCGCGAAAACAAAAGCACGAAAACACACACAGCAUACGGAUUACAGCAUACAACAAAGCACGAACGCUCUACGCGCUAAACGAAAUUACUUACUCCGGGAUACACAGUUCUAUCCUCAUAUCGAGGAUGAACCGACAGACCGACCUACUCGCAGAAACACCUAACUGCGUGACUGAGGUCAUGCAGAGGGCUGGCCUUGCUGGGGCUCUCCGGGAGGACGAAGACUGAGCCAAUCUCCAUCUUCAUCGUCUGACGGCACUAUGGGUUGGGGUUCGACUACUGGGGGUGUGGCUGAAAUCGAUCCAAGCAAAUGCUGCUCGUGGAUCCGUAAAAGAGCCUUGUCGAGGGUGACGAUGUUUGGUCUAGGCCACAACACAGGCUAAGAGGGUAGCAUUGGUUCGGAUGGCAUGGGGUGGAUGGCUUGAGAUGCGAAUUUACGAGCCUCACGAUAAGCUUCCUUGACAACUCGUACCGCAUCGUUGUCCAGGGUUCUAAACUCGGCAAGCAUCUUGGAAAUCAUCAUCCCCUGGGCAGUGAUAUACUGCACCAGGCGAGCGAUUGCGGGGUCAUCUCCUUGGAUAGUGGGAGAAGGCUGAAUUCCCGCUUCUGCCACAAUGGGGAAAAAGCAGAACUCCCGCCUUUGUGCCACUUGCGGAAACUUGGUUUGGAGGUAUAGGGUGGCCUCCACGGCAGCGGCCUGAAUGGCUAAAUCAGCGGUAGGCAUGGCUCUACCCUGAAAAACCAAAGGCUGGCCAUCUACUGCGGGACCUGGGCUGAUGUGCACUCUUGCAUCAUAGCGAUGAAGGUGAGGGACGGGUGUCGACUGGAACACCAGGUAAUCAGGGCUAGCCUUACAACCAAAGGCUUUGGUGAGCAUCUCGGUAAGAAGGGGUGGAAAGCCAGUGUGGUUGAUGGCAAAGGUGCGGCUGUGAAACUUGGGAGCUUUGAAGGUGCUAGCCAUGGCUGGGGUGUUACUAGCGAGGCUUCUCUACAAGGACAUGGCUGAUUGAGGGGUGAACGAUACGGCUAGCGGAAAGGGGGCUUUUAUAGGCAGCUAUGCCGGACAUGACCGCAUGGUGUGGCUCCCUUUCCUUAAUGGCGAAGGGCAUGCGGUGCGGCCGACCGGAAAAGAUAGGGUUGCUAUUCAAUCCACGGAUAACUAGGCGGGGACAGUGGGGUGAGGACGUGUCGGUCCCGACUGCGCCACCUGUUGACUAACAGUGGCCAUGCCGGAUGCCACGGAUGGGUCUAAUCUCUUAGGGCCAUUACGGUUUAAUGGUAGAGGUGAUCUAAUGCUAGGAUAACCUAUGCCAGCCUGGCUGCUCUGAUACCAUCUCCUGUGGCACCCCGAUCCGCAUGGAGCAGGGGGCCUUCGCACGUCAGCCCAGGAUUACGCCUGACGCACGAUAGGUCCAUGAUACAGCAUUCCAGGUACAAUAAUAUUCAUCAAGUACAUGUGUAUAUGAUUACAUCAUUGAUGAAUACAAUUAUCUGGCAUAGCCCUAAGGCUAUACGGAUGGCAGCGGAAGUCUAUUUAAAUGGCGGCGGAAUUCUUGGUUUGGCAGCGUCUCAUCUAGGCUGGGCUCCACAACUCACAGGACUGGCAAGAUUACGGCCUAGCACGACGAAACAAACGAACGAGUAGGGCACGACCUACAAAACUGGCAUGACACGCCAGGUCAGUACAUUGAAUGUACUUGCAAGACAACCAAAUACAUAGCAUCCAAACAAACAGAUGACAAAGCAAGAACCAAGCAUAUGAAACAACCUACCUCAUAGCAGAAACUAAGCAUGGCAAUGGCAUAUCAAACUUACUUCUAACAUGGCUACCGCAAAGCAUAACAUAUCAAAACAUGGCAUACCAAAGCAUGGCAUAAAUUCAGUCAAAGCAUGGCAUGGCAUCAUGAAACACUGCUGAAAAUAAACUACCAGUCAUAUCCGAUGCAAACAUAACAUGUUAACUUUAUGCAACCAUCUACUGUUCUACCAUAGUUCCUUAAAGGCAAAUAACACUUACUACUCGUGCAAUGCAAACAAAAUGUGCAUCGAGUCCCUCGGACUCUCUUACCAGUGGGUUGCCUCGCAAUCAAACGAUGAUCAUGCACGGAUCACCAACGGAACCACACUUGGUUCAACACUCACCGAGACCCAUGUCUCAUGAUCAUACCAACUCAUCAUCGUGAUUACUCACGACUGUCUCACAGUCCAAGUCACCACAUUAUUUCACAUUAUUCAUAUUCUUAGUUAUAUUAGGUUUAUCCUCCAUUUCUAUCGAGACCUGAUAGUGUGACCUACUACGAACUUGUGCCCAUGACCGAGGACGCGGCUAUCGAUAGAUUUAACACACACACUCUGCAGAGGUAGCGCAUUGUACCCACACCACGAAACCCAUGGCCUCGCACUCCCAUUCGGGUGGACCAACGGCAUUCCGACAAAAGCGAUCUAUUGCCAUGACACUCUCCCGGCCACUCCGACCAACACCCCUUUUGGGUUCAGUCCUGGGUGGGCCAUGCCUACCAAAGGUCUUACGGCCACCGUCGUGGCAAAAACGGCCCCAAACGGGGACAAAGCGCGCAAAACAACUCGGGCUCACAAGGUUCAUGUCCGCCUACCUGAUCAGGGUAGCGCGUGCCCAUAACCUUCCCUACGUUGGAGGCACCGGCGAGAGGCAUGACAAUAGACCUGUUAGGGCCUUCCCAUUCCAAGGCAAAUGUGGCUGCACUGGAAAAAGCCCGAUUUGGUGGCACUAUGACAUCCCAGUGAUGACGGAGGAGGUUUGUUAUCCAGUCAUAUUAUUAACUUCUCCAUCAUCGAUCAUUAUGCGAGCAUUAUUAACAUGAAUGCAACAACUAACAGGCAACAUACCGAUGCAGUAACAAAAUAGCAAGCAUUUCAAAUAAACAAUGAUAGCAUGCGAAACAUAGCAAUACUAAGAACUAGCAAAACUUAUCUGUGCAACAGAAUUAUCAUAGCAUUGUUACUACUAACAUGAACUAAACUAGACAGAGGCAUGAUAUUAUCAGUAACAACAACAAACUAGCAUGUCAACUAUUUCAUGAGAGCACAAACAUGCAAGACCGAUAACAAAAGCAUAUAGCACGAAUGAAAUGACAGUAGACAGAACAAACAAGAAACUACUGCAACUAAACACACACACGAGGUGCAUCAACAUGCAAGUUCGGGGCUCAUGAUAAGAGGUUGGCUUGCCCGGGGUCGAGAAAUACUUUGGGAAAAAGUGUGGAAUGAUCGCGGAAAGAUUUGCAGGAAACAAUUCUCUCUCGGAGGGGGCUGUUCACGGGCAAGGGUAAAGUGGUCAUUUUCACUGUGUGAAAACAUAAUGAAAGUGUUACCAACAGAAAUAGUUCGACGAGACGAAGACGUGAGCGUUGGUUUCACCUCAAUCGGAGUUACGGUUGUCGAGAUACGCAGGGUUGAAGUUCAGGGACCUAUUGGUGAAUGUUUUUCAGCAACCAGGCCCCUGGAGGAAAAACUGAACGCGCCUUUCUCAGAAAUACGCUUUCCAGAGAGGAAAGCGUAUUCUGGCCCGAAGAGGAAGCAAAUACGCUUUCGGUUAAGGAAAGCGCAUUUUUGGGAGUACGUGGUCACUUAUCCACGUCAGCGCCUGGGGUCAACCCCUAGUGCGACUGACGGGUGGGCCUUGCGGAGGUGGGACCCGCCUGGCUUGCGUCUUCAACCUCCCGCUCGCACGCCCG